UGGGGAAUAUUGGACGAUGGGCGCAAGCCUGAUCCAGCCAUGCCGCGUGAGUGAUGAAGGCCCUAGGGUUGUAAAGCUCUUUCACCGGUGAAGAUAAUGACGGUAACCGGAGAAGAAGCCCCGGCUAACGUCGUGCCAGCAGCCGCGGUAAUACGAAGGGGGCUAGCGUUGUUCGGAUUUACUGGGCGUAAAGCGCACGUAGGCGGACUUUUAAGUCAGGGGUGAAAUCCCGGGGCUCAACCCCGGAACUGCCUUUGAUACUGGAAGUCUUGAGUAUGGUAGAGGUGAGUGGAAUUCCGAGUGUAGAGGUGAAAUUCGUAGAUAUUCGGAGGAACACCAGUGGCGAAGGCGGCUCACUGGACCAUUACUGACGCUGAGGUGCGAAAGCGUGGGGAGCAAACAGG
rnacentral:rRNA from 1 species